rnacentral:rRNA from 1 species
UCCACGCUGUAAACGAUGGAUACUAGGUGUUGGCCCAUUUGGGGUCGGCGCCGCAGCUAACGCAUUAAGUAUCCCGCCUGGGGAGUACGACCGCAAGGUUGAAACUCAAAGGAAUUGACGGGGGCCCGCACAAGCGGUGGAGCAUGUGGUUUAAUUCGAUGCAACGCGAAGAACCUUACCUGGGCUUGAACCGCAGAUGAUAUCCCCUAAAAGGGGCUUUCCUUCGGGACAUC